rnacentral:rRNA from 2 species
AAAGGAAGAUUAAUACCGCAAACAUUGUUGAAAGGCAUCUUUUAACAAUCAAAGGAGCAAUCCGCUAUGAGAUGGGCCCGCGGCGCAUAGCUAGUUGGUGAGGUAACGGCUCACCAAGGCGACGAUGCGUAGCCACCUGAGAGGGUGAUCGGCCACAUUGGAACUGAGACACGGUCCAGACUCCUACGGGAGGCAGCAGUGGGGAAUAUUGCACAAUGGGGGAAACCCUGAUGCAGCAACGCCGCGUGAGUGAUGAAGGUCUUCGGAUUGUAAAGCUCUGUCUUUAGGGACGAUAAUGACGGUACCUAAGGAGGAAGCCACGGCUAACUACGUGCCAGC